UUUAUAGAUAUUUUACAAUUUUAACGUUCGUUUAAAAUGAGAACACUGUUUGUAAUUCUGGCCAUUUGCUUCGCGAUGAUUCCAUUAAUCAUGGGUUGCAAACCACCUGGUUUACUAUGCUCCGACGACAAAGACUGCUGUGGACCGUUAGUAUGCAACCCAUGGGCUGGACGAUGCACCAAGAAAAUGAGUCCACCGGUACCACCACCGGGCUGGGUAAAUCAGUCAGAAGAUCCAGCCACGUCACCUGUCCAGACCCAAUGAAUCAACGAUGGAUCGAUAUCAAUGUUAUCUCGUAGCCCUAGCAAUCUAGUUAGAUAUUCGUUAAAUUGAAAUUUUAAAAAUCUUCUUUACGUAUAUUUAUAUUCUAUUUAUGU